AUUGAACGCUGGCGGCAGGCCUAACACAUGCAAGUCGAGCGGAGCGGCGGACGGGUGAGUAAUGCCUAGGAAUCUGCCUGGUAGUGGGGGAUAACGUCCGGAAACGGGCGCUAAUACCGCAUACUAUCAGAUGAGCCUCGGUCGGAUUAGCUGUUGGGUGGGGUAAGGGCCUAGCAAGGCGACGAUCCGUAACUGGGCUGAGAGGAUGAUCAGUCACACUGGAACUGAGACACGGUCCAGACGCCUACGGCAGGCAGCAGUGGGGAAUGUUGGACAAUGGGCGAAAGCCUGAUCCAGCCAUGCCGGGUGUGUGAAGAAGGUCUUCGGAUUGUAAAGCACUUUAAGUUGGGAGGCGUUACCAACAGAAUAAGCACCGGCUAACUUCGUGCCAGCAGCCGCGGUAAUAC
rnacentral:rRNA from 1 species